UACAGAGGGGGCGAGCGUUAUUCGGAAUUAUUGGGCGUAAAGGGCGCGUAGGCGGCUAAGUAAGUCUCGGGUGAAAUCCCUCGGCUCAACCGAGGAACUGCCUUGGAAACUGCUUGGCUUGAGGCCGGGAGAGGAUGGUGGAAUUCCCAGUGUAGCGGUGAAAUGCGUAGAUAUUGGGAGGAACACCGGUGGCGAAGGCGGCCAUCUGGACCGGUCCUGACGCUGAGGCGCGAAAGCGUGGGGAGCAAACGGG
rnacentral:rRNA from 1 species